AUGGGGUGCAGCAGGCGAGAAAACUUUGCAAUGUGCGAAAGCACGACAAGGUUAAUCCGAGUGAUUCCUGCUAAAGGAAUCUUUUGUUAGUCAUAAAACCACUAUUGAAUAAGGGGUGGGCAAGUUCUGGUGUCAGCCGCCGCGGUAAAACCAGCACCUCAAGUGGUCAGGAUGNUUAUUGGGCCUAAAGCAUCCGUAGCCGGCUCUGUUAGUUUUCGGUUAAAUCCAUAUGCUCAACAUAUGGGCCGCCGGGAAUACUACAAAGCUAGGGAGUGGGAGAGGUAGACGGUACUCCGUAGGAAGGGGUAAAAUCCUUUGAUCUAUGGAUGACCACCAGUGGCGAAGGCGGUCUACCAGAACACGUUCGACGGUGAGGGAUGAAAGCUGGGGGAGCAAACCGGAUUAGAUACCCGGGUAGUCCCAGCUGUAAACUAUGCAAACUCAGUGAUGCAUUGGCUUGUGGCCAGUGCAGUGCCGCAGAGAAGUCGUUAAGUUUGCCGCCUGGGAAGUACGUACGCAAGUAUGAAACUUAAAGGAAUUGGCGGGGGAGCAC
rnacentral:rRNA from 1 species